rnacentral:rRNA from 1 species
UCGAGCGAAUGGAUUAAGAGCUUGCUCUUAUGAAGUUAGCGGCGGACGGGUGAGUAACACGUGGGUAACCUGCCCAUAAGACUGGGAUAACUCCGGGAAACCGGGGCUAAUACCGGAUAACAUUUUGAACCGCAUGGUUCGAAAUUGAAAGGCGGCUUCGGCUGUCACUUAUGGAUGGACCCGCGUCGCAUUAGCUAGUUGGUGAGGUAACGGCUCACCAAGGCAACGAUGCGUAGCCGACCUGAGAGGGUGAUCGGCCACACUGGGACUGAGACACGGCCCAGACUCCUACGGGAGGCAGCAGUAGGGAAUCUUCCGCAAUGGACGAAAGUCUGACGGAGCAACGCCGCGUGAGUGAUGAAGGCUUUCGGGUCGUAAAACUCUGUUGUUAGGGAAGAACAAGUGCUAGUUGAAUAAGCUGGCACCUUGACGGUACCUAACCAGAAAGCCACGGUUAACUACGUGC